rnacentral:rRNA from 1 species
UACGGGGGGAGCAAGCGUUGUUCGGAUUUACUGGGCGUAAAGGGUGCGUAGGCGGCCUGUUAAGUCAGUGGUGAAAUCCAACAGCUCAACUGUUGAUGUGCCAAUGAUACUGACAGGCUUGAGUACAGACGAGGUAGGCGGAAUUGACAGUGUAGCGGUGAAAUGCAUAGAUAUUGUCAAGAACACCGAUAGCGAAGGCAGCUUGCUAGCCUGUAACUGACGCUGAGGCACGAAAGUGUGGGGAUCAAACAGG